rnacentral:rRNA from 1 species
GACGAACGCUGGCGGCGUGCUUAACACAUGCAAGUCGAACGGAAAGGCCCUGCUUUUGUGGGGUGCUCGAGUGGCGAACGGGUGAGUAACACGUGAGUACCUGCCCUUGACUUUGGGAUAACUUCAGGAAACUGGGGCUAAUACCGGAUAGGAGCUCCUGCUGCAUGGUGGGGGUUGGAAAGUUUCGGCGGUUGGGGAUGGACUCGCGGCUUAUCAGCUUGUUGGUGGGGUAGUGGCUUACCAAGGCUUUGACGGGUAGCCGGCCUGAGAGGGUGACCGGCCACAUUGGGACUGAGAUACGGCCCAGACUCCUACGGGAGGCAGCAGUGGGGAAUAUUACACAAUGGGCGGAAGCCUGAUGCAGCAACGCCGCGUGCGGGAUGACGGCCUUCGGGUUGUAAACCGCCUUCGCCUGUGACGAAGCGUGAGUGACGGUAAUGGGUAAAGAAGCACCGGCUAACUACGUG